UCCCAUGCCGAACACAGAAGUUAAGCUCCUUAACGUCGAUGAUACUUGGUGGGUGACUGCCUGGGAAAGUAGAAAGUUGCCGGAA
rnacentral:rRNA from 1 species